rnacentral:ncRNA from 1 species
AUCCUAGUGAUGUACAGUUGCUAAGGGUCGGAUUGUUCACCCGUAUUAGGGAUCGUGAGCUGGGUUUAGACCGUCGUGAGCCAGGUUUGUUUUAUCCUACUGGAUAUAGCAUCAUGAUAGUAGAUUGAUUUAGUACGAGAGGAACUGUUGAUUAUGGCCUCUGGUUAGCGAUUAUCGGAAACGGUAUGUCGCGCAGCUACGCCGUCUGGGAUAAUGGCUGAAAGCCUCUUAAGCCAGAAGCCCAUCUAGAAAGUGAUGCACGUGAUGUUGGACCGAUACGAAUAAUCAUACUCAAAAGGUCCGCUUCAUAGGUAACCCAAUGUAGAAGACAUUGUGUGAACGAAGGUACUGUAAGCAGUGGAGUGGCAUUACGUCCACGACCUGUUGAGGUUCAGCUUCGCUUCUAGGUUUCC